AGGUCUGGGGAGACGGUGAACAUGUGGCAGGGCUCAGUGUGGCUGUCUCCUCUGGGGUUGCUGGCUGUGGAGGCUGUGGGCGGAGCGAUGAGGUCGUCGGCCGUGGGCGGGGUUCCGUCGGCAGUUGGAGUAUCGGGGGAGGCGGCAGCAGCUGCGGUGAGGGUGGUGUGUGAGGUGUUGUAUCUGUGGAAGUGGAGGUGGUGAGUGCAGCAGCGGUUCCGGAAGUGGUGUGGCCGGCGGAGGCGGAUGUGACGUCAUCGGUGGGGUCUCCGGCCGUGUCUUCAUGUUCAAUGGCGGCGGGGCAGACAACAUCAGGUGAAGAUGUGCGUGAUUUCAGCAAGGUGCUGAAAAAUAAGUAAGAAAUAUUUUGCCAAACAUCCUCGCUUGGGUUAUUUACCAGUACAAACAGCUCUAGAAGGCGAGAACCUUGAGACUGGAUCUGUUGGAGUUGCACACAGCGCAACGCGUCUUUGAUCAACACAAAUUGACACAAACCGAGCAACUUCUGAAUGUGACUGAAGUAAUCAACUGUUUAACGUCCAUUUAUGAUGUUUUGGAACAAAACCACAAGGACUUGGUCAAUGUGCCACUCUGUGUCGACAUGUGUCUGAACUGGCUGCUGAACGUAUUUGAUACGGGUAUGAGUGGAAGAAUCAGAGUGCUUUCUUUGAAAAUUCGCUUGACGUGACUCUUCAAGGAUCAUCUGGAGGAAAAAUACAAGUAUCUCUUCAAACAAGUCGCUGAACCCACAGAUUUAUGUGACCAACGAAGCCUGAGUCUUUUGCUUUACGAUGCAGUCCAGAUCCCUUGGCAGCUGGGUGAGGUAGCUUCAUUUGGAGGCUGCAACAUUGAACCAAGUAUCCGCAGUUGCUUCC